AAUCGAUUUUCGAAUUUCUUUUUUUUUUUUCGCUGCCGGUUAUGAAAUGCUGUAGCAUCAGCUUUAUUUUGUACAGCCGUUCUUUUUUUUUUUUUUGUCCACAGCAAUUCGCGGACCGACUCUCGUUCUACCGUUGAGUAGCAGUUACCAAAAUCGGAGAUUCAGAUAGGAGAAGAGGAAUGCAAAAUUCCCCAACAUAAAGAAAUGGGUAGUUUUCUAUCCUGUUUAUAUUAAUUCGAAGAAAACAGUAGCUGAGGGGAGGCGAAUCAGCUUGAGUAGAGUAUGUGAAUGCCAUUGAGAUUGAUAAGGUAUACCCAUGUGAUUUCAUGCAAAGAGGGAGAGUGAGGGUCCGGUUGAGAAAGGAAGAUGGAACUUUGUACAAUCCAGGCAUUUUUUCGUGAAAGCGGCUGAUGCUCCAUGUUGCAAAGUUGGUACCUAGACAUCCAGCGAGAAGUAAGAAGCAGGAAGCUCCUUCCACAUCAAAGUACUGCUGGACCCUUCCAAAACUGGGAAGAAUGGAAGAAAAACUGAUAGCUCCUUUACUCCCCAUGCAACAGAAGAUCAUGGAUUUCCAUUGAACAUUUCAAAUUUCCCAUUGAGUUAAACAUAUUCAUAUGGUAACAAAUUUUGUCAGUUCAUCCGAGUGAGCUUCAGGUUAUAUGUUUCCAAACUAAUUCCAUAAAUUUUUUAUAGGUCAAUCAUUGAAACCUUGACUUUAUUGCUCUUUAGAUUUUGGCUUGUCAAAUGCUGCUUCCGGUCUUUACCGUUCUAUUUAUUGUGUGUAUAAAAUUUUUUGAACCCACAACUUUCAAGUGUGAACUUCCUCUAAUUAAAAGUAGGCAAUAUUAAAUUUUGAAUUGUAUGAAUCCAUGCUCCUAUGAUAUAGUCUUUACUUGCAAUAAAUGUUGUUAUAUUAAUGGAACUAUUGUGAAUAUUCAAGAGUGAUAUCUGGGGUGUGGAUAUUUCCUAUCUUUUUUCAUUUAUAACAUCACUGUCAUCUGAUUUAUUUAUGUUGCCACAAUUUCUUUUACUCACAAUAUUAUAUACUUUAAUCUAAGUUAUACACUUUAGUUAUUGAACAUCAAAGUUGAAAUCACUAAGACAAAAGAAAAAAAAAACAAAAAAAAAUUUAUUCUAUGUUUAAAAGAUCACCAAAAAAGAUAGAGAACAAUUUUGUUCAUAUUGAAAAUUU